rfam:Pyrenophora tritici-repentis Pt-1C-BFP supercont1.14 genomic scaffold, whole genome shotgun sequence.
GGACAGAUGGCCGAGCGGUUAAGGCGCUAGCUUCAGGUACAGCCUGCUAGUCACGAAAGUGGCGUGGGUUCGAUUCCCACUCUGUUCA